AAUUGUGCUUCCACAUCCAUGGUGUUUUCUCUACACAGAUUGCUGGCUUUACCUCAAGUCCAAAGCUUUAACUUGACCUGAAUAUUUCCAGUUAACAUUCUCUUUGUCAGAGGGGCAUGAACUUCUCCCCGGUUAAAGAAGUCUCUCCACACAAGGAGAUGCAAGUCAGGUGAUUGGGCCUCUUACUGAAGGACAGAGAAGAAAUGUUGCAGUAGUGAAUUCAUUGUAUAAGUUGCACCAAUCAGUAACAAAGGUUGUUUCCAGUCAGAGCUCAUUCCCACUGGCAGCUGAGCAAACUGUAAUUUCAGCUCUAAAGGAUCUGCCGUACAGUGUUGAAUAGAACUGGCUAUUCAUGCUCUUAUGGAAAAUGCUGUGCAACCCUUACUCACUUCUGUGGGAGAUGCUAUAGAGGCCAUAAUCAUCACCAUGCAUCAAGAAGACUUUUCUGGGUCAUUAUCCAGCUCAGGAAAACCUGAUGUUCCUUGUUCUCUGUACAUGAAGGAGCUACAAGGUUUCAUUGCCAGAGUUAUGAGUGACUAUUUUAAACACUUUGAAUGCUUGGAUUUUGUCUUUGACAACACU
rnacentral:sRNA from 1 species